rnacentral:rRNA from 1 species
AUGUGCAGCAGAAAAUUAACUUUCUUUGCCCUUGUGCUGCUGAUCUCCUUGGCCUUUCCCACCAGUUCUUGCACAGAGAAGGAGAAGGAGUCCCUCCUGCACUUCCUCAGUGGUCUGUCGUCGGACGGUGGCCUCGCCGCGUCCUGGAAGCAGAACGGCGCAGACUGCUGCGAAUGGGAAGGGGUCACCUGUGGCGAGGAUGGGGCAGUCACAGAUGUCUCAUUGGCUUUGAAGGGCCUUGAGGGGCGCAUAACACCAUCCCUCGGCAACCUUGAUGGCCUUCUGCGCCUCAACCUGUCCCACAAUUCGCUGUCGGGUGGCCUGCCGCUGGAACUGGUGUCGUCCGAUAGCAUCAUCGUCCUUGAUGUCAGCUUCAACCGCCUCGGAGGAGACAUGCAAGAGCUGCCAUCUUCAACCCCAUCACGACCUCUUCAGGUACUGAACAUCUCAAGCAACUUGUUCACAGGACGGUUUCCAUCAUCCACCACCUGGGAGGUGAUGGACAAUCUGGUUGUGCUCAAUGCCAGCAAUAACAGUUUCACUGGGCAAAUACCGGAUAAUUUCUGCAGCAGCUCGUCAUUGUUAGCUGUAGUUGAGCUCUGUUACAACCAAUUUACAGGCAUCAUCCCUCCUGGACUUGGUAACUGCUCCAUGCUCAGAGUGCUCAAGGCUGGACACAACAACCUCCGCGGGACUCUCCCAACUGAACUCUUUGAUGCUUCCUUACUGGAGUACCUCUCACUUCCUAGCAAUGUUCUAGAUGGAGUACUAGAUGGUGCUCAGAUAGUCAAGCUCAGCAAUCUAGUUACACUAGACCUAGGAGGGAAUAAUUUCAGCGGCAAGAUUCCGGAUUCCAUUGGUGAGCUCGAGAGACUAGAAGAGUUGCAUUUGGACUACAACAACAUAUCAGGGGAGCUGCCAUCAGCCCUGAGCAACUGCACAAAUCUGGUAACAAUUAACUUCAAGAGCAACAACCUCAGCGGAGAACUUAGCAAGGUCAACUUCUCCACCCUGCCUAGGCUCAAAACUCUAGAUGUUCUGUACAACAACUUCAACGGCAGAGUUCCAGAAAGUUUGUAUACCUGCAGCAAUCUGACUGCACUGCGGCUAUCUGGCAACAACUUACAUGGGCAGCUCUCACCAAGAAUAGGCAAUCUAAAGCACCUCACCUUCCUUUCACUUGCUAUAAACUCUUUCACAAACAUCACAAAUGCGCUUCACAUUCUUCAGAGGUGCACCAACCUUAACACACUGCUUAUGGGAAGCAGCUUCAGGGGCGAGUUAAUGCCAGAGGAUGACUUCAUUGAUGGUUUUGAGAAUCUUCAGGUCCUCUCCUUAAAUGAUUGCUCGUUGUUAGGUAAAAUACCUCUUUGGAUAUCGAAGCUAGCAAAAUUAGAGAUGUUGAUAUUAUCUGAAAAUCAACCACCGGAUCAAUUCCAGCCUGGAUCGAAGACCUAA